AAGAGCUCAAAGUUGGAAACUGUUUGGCUUAGCUAAACCGUAUUGUAAACUGUAGAAACAUUUUCCUGGCACGCCGGAUUAAUAAGUCCUUUGGAACAAGGCAUCAUGGAGGGUGAGAAUCCCGUCUUUGAUCCGAGUAGUUGUCUUUUGUGAUAUGUUUUCAAAGAGUCAGGUUGUUUGGGAAUGCAGCCUAAAUUGGGUGGUAAAUCUCACCUAAAGCUAAAUAUUUGCGAGAGACCGAUAGCGAACAAGUACCGUGAGGGAAAGAUGAAAAGAACUUUGAAAAGAGAGUUAAACAGUAUGUGAAAUUGUUAAAAGGGAACCGUUUGGAGCCAGACUGGUUUGACUGUAAUCAACCUAGAAUUCGUUCUGGGUGCACUUGCAGUCAUAUACCUGCCAACAACAGUUUGAUUUGGAGGAAAAAAUUAGUAGGAAUGUAGCCUCUCGAGGUGUUAUAGCCUACU
rnacentral:rRNA from 1 species